UUGCAGGAAAGCCCUGAAUGCUGAGAACAAAUGAAGAAGAAAGAAGCGAAGCGAUUAAAGAGUUAGAAAGAGCACAGAGAAGCCAAAUAAUGGUUAUCAGACUCCACAAGCCGUGUCUCUGUUAACCCUUGGGCCCAGUGCAAAAUACAGGCAUGGUUGUGCUCCUGGUUCAGCAUGACUAUAUUUUAACUUGCUAAUAAUUG
rnacentral:lncRNA from 1 species